rnacentral:lncRNA from 1 species
UGGAACAAAAUAGAGAAACCAGAAAUAAAGUCAAAUACUUACAGCCAACUGAUCUAUGACAAAGAUGGCAAGAACACUACACUGGGGAGAAGACACACUUUUCAAUUAAUGGUGCUGGGAAAACGGUGAUGGCGCCUGGAGGUUUGGCGAAAUACUGACAGGAUGCGACGUCAACGGGAGCGCAGGGCCAAGGUACAGGCCCCGCCCAGUCCGGUCACAUCCCCCGGAAUUCUCGCAGCUCCCCUUAGCUCCGCCCCCAGUGACUUUCCAGCUUUCGUGGCGGGAGGCAAGCUUAGGGGAAGCGGGCGGGUCCGCUGGGCGGGAUUUGAGCUUCCCUUUGGUAGAUUCGAAGCUCCUGUAGGCAGAGCCUUUCUUUUAAUGUCCAGUUCUCUUCCUCCAAGAAAUAGGCACCUACUGCAGUCUUUACAAGGAAGCAUUUACAAGGAUAACAAUGUUAUUUGGGAGUUUUUAUAGUAAUUUCGGGCAUUGGCAUAAUGCCACCAUUGAGUCUUGCUAUUUACAGACAGAUUUGAUUAACCUUGUCAUUGUUUUAUAGGGCCAUGAUUUUGUGGUAUAAUUAAUAUUUAUUAUAAUUUAUUUUAUAGGUUUAUUAUAGUUUAUUUAAUAUUUAUUAUAACUUAUAAUUGAUAAAUAUUAUAAUUUAUCAUUUAUAAUGAUAAAUUGUUAAACAUGAAUUCUCUGCUAAUUCCAGAUAUAUGCCUUCAAUCAUUUAAGUGAAAUCAUCCUAGUGUGAAACUAAAUGUAAUAAAGAAUUACAUGAAUAUUUCCAAGGCUAAUUUGAACUAAAAUAUCUUCUUUAUAUACAUAUUUGCAGGAGGAUAUAGCUAACUUUUUUUUUUUUUUUGAGACGGAAUCUCGCUCUGUCACCAGGCUGGAGUGCAAUGGCGCAAUCUCGGCUAACUGCAACCCCCACCUCCCGGGUUCAAGCAAUUCUUCUGCCUCAGCCUCCCUAGUAGCUGGGAUUACAGGCGCAGGCCACCAUGCCUGGCUAAUUUUUGUAUUUGUUUAGUAGAGACGGGGUUUCCCAUUUUGGCCAGGCUGGUCUCGAACUCCUGACCUUGUGAUCCGCCCACCUUGGCCUCCCAAAGUGCUGGGAUUACAGACAUGAGCCACUGUGCCCAGCCAGCUAUGUUUGAAGUGCCUUUUUAAUCAACAGGAAGCAUUCAGUAUUAGCCCAUCUCCUGUUUCCCCUCCCCAUCCCUGUAGUUAUAUCCCACGCAGAAGCCGGGGUGACAAGUGCAUGAACUCAGGAGCUGUCCAUUUGAGGAAAACUAUAGGGAAGGUUUAGAUGCUAUCCUCCUUCCAUCUCUGGCUGCAUCCGGCUGAGAAAUACUAUUCCUCCUUUUUAUGUGAAGCCCUCCACAUGGGCUUUGGACCCUGACCAAUUUCAUCUCCCUUCCAUCAUCAUCAAUAUAUUUUCUCUUAAUGUAUUUUAAGCUUUCCUUCUUUUAUUCAUUCUUUCCCGUCACCAUUUAAACACAUUCUCCCAGGCUCUUGCUCUGUCGCCCAGGCUGAAGUGCAGUGGCGAGAUCAUAGCUCGCUGCAGCCUGGAACUCCUGGGCUCAAGCUAUCCUCUGGCCUCAGCCUUCUAAGUAGCUGGGACUACAGGCACAGGCCACCACACCCGGCUAAUUUUUUAAAAAAAUUUUGUGGAGACGAGUUCUCACUAUGUUGCCCAGUCAGUCUCACACUCCUCUGUGGGUACUAAAUAUUUGUUGAAUGAACAAAUGCUGAGGAAAACUGUUUAUCUUACUUCUGACUUCCACCCCUCCAUCCCACCCCUGCCCCCCACCACCCCAUUACACUUAAACUGCCCUUAGAAAAACCACUGAAGAACUCUUUAUUGCUAACCCAAAAGGACAUUUUUAGUCUCAUAUUUUUGAAAACAUUCUUUGUGCUACAACAUGGUCCUAGUUUUCCUCUUACCUUCUACCAACUGAAUCUUUUAAAAUUUCUCAUAAUCUGUUUAGCCUGUAAGUAUCCAUGUUCUGUAGAAUGUGAUGAAGAUGUCUAAUAGAGGUAUACGUAAGUCCUUUUAUUUUGUUAAAGUGGUUGUUCUCAGUUCCUGUGGGACACAACACUUCCUACACGUUCAAGUAACUUCCAAUCUUAUUUCUUCUGCAUAAUCUCCCAAUUAGUGGCAGAGGCUCCAGAGCCUGUAAUGCUUUCCCUCACAUUAGCAAUUAAUUUCCACAAAUGAAGAAAAUUGCUCAUGAAUAUACAGUACAAUUUAAGAUAAUAAGAGAGGAAAAAAAGAGAUUGAAUCAACUGAAUAAGGCAAUGAAGACAUAUUAAUGCCAAAACAAUCCAUUACUAUUGUUCUAUGCCUGUUGAAGCAGCAUAAAAAAGCUACUCUAAGGCUAACAAUUAAUGUAAUUGUUAUUAGAAGUUAUGACUUUUAAAGGUUCAAUGAAAAAAGUUUUUAUAUAAAAUCUGCAAUGUAAAAAUGUUCAUUUUAAGAAAAGUUAAAAUUAAAUUUUCAUUAAUAAAUAAUGAAGACUAAAAGCAAAAUGGGUAAUUUUUAAGUGAUGUAUAAAUAUAAGGAUUCAGUAUAGUUAUCAUAAAUAAAUCAAACGUGAAAGAAAUUAGUCUGCAAAUU